rnacentral:rRNA from 1 species
UGGGGAAUAUUGCACAAUGGGCGCAAGCCUGAUGCAGCCAUGCCGCGUGUAUGAAGAAGGCCUUCGGGUUGUAAAGUACUUUCAGCGGGGAGGAAGGGAGUAAAGUUAAUACCUUUGCUCAUUGACGUUACCCGCAGAAGAAGCACCGGCUAACUCCGUGCCAGCAGCCGCGGUAAUACGGAGGGUGCAAGCGUUAAUCGGAAUUACUGGGCGUAAAGCGCACGCAGGCGGUUUGUUAAGUCAGAUGUGAAAUCCCCGGGCUCAACCUGGGAACUGCAUCUGAUACUGGCAAGCUUGAGUCUCGUAGAGGGGGGUAGAAUUCCAGGUGUAGCGGUGAAAUGCGUAGAGAUCUGGAGGAAUACCGGUGGCGAAGGCGGCCCCCUGGACGAAGACUGACGCUCAGGUGCGAGAGCGUGGGGAGCAAACAGG